ensembl:misc_RNA 7SK 7SK RNA
GGAUGUGAGGGCAAUAUGGUGUGACAUCUGUCACCCCACUGAUCACCAGGGUUGAUUUGACUGAUCUGGCUGGCUAGACUGGUGUCCCCUUCCUCCCUCACCCCUCCAUGUGCACCUCUCCUGAAGCUGCACGCUUUGUGGAAGAAGAAAACCUUCCUCUUUGGUCAAGGGUGUAUGAGUAGCUGUACUUCCCUGCUAGAACCUCCAAACAAGCUCUCAAACAUGUCCAUGAGCAGAAUGGUGUGUGUAUGAUUAAAGAAACAAGGAUAAAUUUAUUAUUU